rnacentral:rRNA from 1 species
UCUUGGUCAUUUAGAGGAAGUAAAAGUCGUAACAAGGUCUCCGUUGGUGAACCAGCGGAGGGAUCAUUACCGAGUUUACAACUCCCAAACCCCUGUGAACAUACCUAUUUGUUGCCUCGGCGGUGCCUGUUCCGACAGCCCGCCAGAGGACCCCAAACCCUGAUUACAUUUAAGAAGUCUUCUGAGUAAACCGAUUAAAUAAAUCAAAACUUUCAACAACGGAUCUCUUGGUUCUGGCAUCGAUGAAGAACGCAGCGAAAUGCGAUAAGUAAUGUGAAUUGCAGAAUUCAGUGAAUCAUCGAAUCUUUGAACGCACAUUGCGCCCGCUAGUAUUCUGGCGGGCAUGCCUGUCCGAGCGUCAUUUCAACCCUCAAGCCCCCGGGCUUGGUGUUGGGGAUCGGCGAGCCUCCGCGCCCGCCGUCCCCUAAAUCUAGUGGCGGUCUCGCUGUAGCUUCCUCUGCGUAGUAGCACACCUCGCACUGGGAAACAGCGCGGCCACGCCGUUAAACCCCCAACUUCUGAACGUUGACCUCGGAUCAGUAG